UGAAUGCCUGGCUUCUAAUUAAUAAUAUAGGUAAAGGACUUUGACUAUCACAAAAGCUAUUCUUGGGGAGGCACCUGUCCUCUUUUAGCUGGGAAAAUCCAAAGUUGACUUAGGUGAAAACUUCUUUGCGUAAGAUUGGAGUUUUUAUGGCUAGGAUGUAAAUACUGUCCUUGAUUUAGUAUCAUUCAUGAUUGGGUUGAACAAACCACCCAUUAGCAAUCAUUAAAUGCUAAUGCACUCUUGAACUGUUGAAGGUGAGGAAUGAGACUAGUCCAGAGGAUGUUGGGGGUAUGCAUGCAGCUACUGGAAUCUUGACUGCUAGAGGUGGCAUGACAUCUAAUGCUACUGUUGUAGCCCGUGGAUGGGGAAACUGUUGUGUGUCUGGUUGCAUAUCCUUGUAAAUGAUGCUAAGAAGAUUGCUGGAAUAAGAUUCAUGUGGGAAAAUGCAGUCAAUCAGAAAAGUGAAGUCCGGAGAUAUAAAGGUCUUGGCUGUAUUCUAACUCAUACUAUGGACCUUGGUUAAACUUUUCAGAAUUUUGUUCAUUUGGCAGGGAGUGAGCGUGCAUCUCAAGCAUUAUCAGUUGGGUCCCCUUGUUUCUUAGCCUAUGGUGUCUACCUUCUUUAUUCAACUUCUUGGAACUAUUAUUACAUAUUUAUUAGUUAUAAAUGUCUUGUAUUUAAUUAGGAUACAUUUGUUUUUUUGGAGACACCAAAGAGACCAAACUCAUGCUUGUCCUAUUAGAUAGGAUAUGUAUAUAGUAGUGUUUCAAACAUGAAGCAUAGAAUAUUUGUCUCAUUAAUUUAUGAUGUAAAUU